rnacentral:lncRNA from 1 species
AAACUCUAAGCUCAAAGCUUCAUUGGCCAAAAACACACACAAGCACAAGUGUAAGUGUUACACACAAAGAGUUAUAAUUAAGAAGAAAAUGGCCAAAUUGUUCAUGGCUUUGCUCUUGGCUCUUGUGGCCACUCAUGCCCUAGCUAGACCUACACCAAAGGAUGACACUUUCAGUGACCAAAAGAACUUCCUGACCUAUGGAGGCGUCGGUGGUUACUCUGGCAUCGGCAACAAUGGCCUCCCGUUUGGUGGUCUAGGGGGUGCCAUUGGGGGAGGAGGCCUUGGUGGCGGUCUUGGUGGUGGUCUUGGUGGUGGCCUCGGUGGCGGUACGGGAAUUGGUGGAGGACUAGGUGGACUGGGAGGUCCUGGAGGUGGAUUCGGUGGCAUUGGUGGAACCACUGGCGGUCUUGGCGGUGGUCUCGGGGGUGGACUCGGUGGUGGUCUCGGUGGCGGUGUCGGUGGAGCUUCUGGUGUUACUUAUCCUUGAAUAGUUAUUUAGUUAUGCUUGUUGAUUUUUACUCAAAAAGUUCUUGCAGUUUAAAGUUUGUUUGAUUAAUAUUGUGUCAAGAGAUGUAGUUGUUUAGUUGUUGCUUAAUGACCUUAUAGCAUUUGGUUGUGUUUGGUUUUCUAUUUAAAUUUGGUUGUGAUUAUCUUUUGUUUGUUCACUUUUGUCAGUAUAAAACAAACAUCUGCUUUAGCUGUUCCUUUUUUUUUUUCGGUUUAUAUAUUUAUUUUAUAUUUAAUGAAAAAUGAAUGGGUUGUAUGCAUACUUUUGUCCAAUAUAUAUAUAUAUAUAUAUAUAGUAAUAGUUUAUUCUUUGUGUGGAAGUUUGAGGAUAAUAUAUCAUGCACCAACUGAUCUUUCUUAGAUUCUUGCAAAUGAUUUCUUGUUAAUCAUGAUAUGAUAUAUUGCACCAUGAUGGAAGACCUUGAAAAAAUCGAGUGAGCUCCUAAUCUUUAUAACUACGUGGACUACUUUUAUAAUCGUUAGUUAAUUUUGAGAAACUCUAGUUAUUAAUUAUUAACUUUUAACUUUCAACAAAAUUUGGAAAAGAAAAAAUACAAAAUCUAUCUUUUUGCUUAAUAAAAUAUAAAUACGAUCAUUUGUACGUUAUAAAUAUUUUACAAGUUGGCUAGGAUGAUUUAUAAUGCUGAUAAAAUUAUUGAAUAAUCAAGGACAUUGUCACUUAGUAAAGAAACUAAACAGAGAAUGUAUGAUGGGAAAUAAUAUCUUAAACAACUCUAUUUAAUUAACAUGAAGUAAUAUAUAUUAUUUAUGAGAAUUUCAAAUUUUGAGGGAAACCCUCCUAAGUGUUACCUAUUGUUAUUUUUUUAGAAUAAUGGUUAUUAAGUGUGUUAUAACAGACAAGAUUAAAUGUAACAUAAAAUUAGUUAAAAUAACAAUUAAUGCCUAAUUAAUUGAAAAUAUCUAAAAAUAAAUUUUAUUUGCUGUACUAUGUUUUUAAUUUCAACAUUUAUAUCAAAUUUAAUUUUCCACUGCAAAAACAUUAUUAUGAAAACAAAAAUAAGAUUUCAACAAAUGCUAAACAUUAGGGAUGACAGAUAAUAUAGCUGAACUAAUUGAUUCAUCAGUUCCCACAGCUCAAUAGAUAAAAACUUUACUUACCAUUUGUAUAUUAGUUAUCAGAAAUUUUAUUUUUUUCUUUUAAUUCCAAGUUGUUAUAUAAAAUAAUAUUGUUUUACUUUAGGGAAAAAGCUCCUCUCUCUAUUGUUUCUUUUCAACUAAGUAUAUUUUAUAUACGCAUGAAUGCAUGUCACACAAAUUAAUUAUAUGCAUAUACUUUAUAAUGUCCCCUACCAACAAAUAUUCUAGUCAUUAACCAAAUAUAUUUGUACCUAAUUGAAAAGCAAAGGCUAAAAGGGCAGAUUUUUUCCAAGCCCUAAUGGAUAUGGCCAUUGGAUUCUUUUAUUUGAUGACCCUAAUUAAAGAGGUGUCCACAAUUGUUAGGUAUAGCUCAUUAAAACACUGCCCAUUCAUGAUAAGAUUUGCCCUAAAUUAUAGGACACACAAGGGCUAACCAAUUCCCAUGGCUUAUCCCUUGAACAAAUUAAAACAUGGAAAGUAAUUGCUGAGAGAAAAUACCCAUAAAGGUAAUUUCACAAUACAAAGACCACGUGGCGAUUGUAUAUAUAUUUAGAUAUAAGGAGAGAAUUAAAAUUGAUAGGGUCUUCAAGGAAUAAUCAAUGUGUUAUCCUUUGGUCAAUUUUAAACUAAACAAUGUCUUAGUUAGCCUUCAAUCAAAACUCUUGCUGUUGGUUGAUAGGUAGCAUUAUCAAAAAUCAAAUUAAGAAGAUGACUCAUAAUAGUAUAAUCAAAAUUCUUCGAAAAUCACUCAUAUGGAGUAUACGUUAGGAGAAGUUCGAUGUACAUGGAGAGGUUCGAAUAUCUGACCUCUUAAAUGCGUGUAUCUUUUUUAUCGUUUAGUUAUAUACUAAAUCAAUUAAAUUUAAUUUGUAAGGAUCAUUAUUGGCAAUAAAUUGAUACAAUAUAACUACUUUAUAAUGUAAAGGAAGACAUUGGGGUACAAAUCCAUAUGGACGUAGUGUAUGGCUAGUAUAUAAGGACCAUGUGCAAUAAAUUUUAGUCAAUCAAGUCAUUUUCGAUUAUUUUAUGUAUACUCUAUUAAGAAAGUACCUAUUUUCUUUUGGCUUGAUAAUUAGGUGCUAUUUGGUCCAUCAUCUUCUUGAGUUGGUGUGAACAACUCAACCUUUUAUUUUUUUAAAAUUAAAUGUUAUUAAAAUUUGCAUAUUUAUCGAGUAAAUGCGCAUCUUUUAGAGAAAAAAAAUUACAUUUAUCAAGAAAUUUUGUCCUUCUUUUUAUCUCUAUUCUUCACAAUUAUCGAUAAAUUUUAUCUUACAACUCUAAACCUCAAACACAAGGUUACUAACUCCAACAUAUUCACUCCACAAUAUUCACUCUUCACUUAUUUGGGCUAAACACCCUCUUAAAAAUGAAGGAUGAAUAUAUUACCUUUAAGCUAAGUUUGAUUUGAAAUUGUAUAUAAGAUACUAAUUUAAACCAGCUUAAAAAGGAUUUUAGAUCAUGUUUAUCUAAUAAGAAAAGUAUUCCCUCAAUAGUAACAUGAGAAAAUGAAUCUCUUUAUUACACGCUAAUUUGUUGUUGUUUAACUAUAUCCUACAAUCAUAACCAAAUGUUAGAUCCACUAACCAAAUUUGAGUUAGUGUGAUUAUUCUUUUUACGUUGGAGAAGAAUGUUAUUGCAUCCAUGCUAGCUUUUUAUAGAUCUAUAUAUACUUGAUUUUUGAAUUUUUGCAUGAAAAUAUGCUACAAUAUAAUGUAUGAAAACUAUGAACAAUUACCAUCGGUGUAUGCUAAUUAUUGAUUGAUCCUAAACAUGGUAAGGAUCACAAUAACGAUAAAAAGAAAAUGAUACUAGACAAUGCAAAGUAAAGAAUCUUUAACCAUAAUCCAAUUAUACGCUUGUAAUUAAUUAAUUAUGAUGAAUCCUCCUAUAUAUAAAUUUUCUCACCAAUUUUUAUUAUAGAUGAAUAAACUUGGCCUUAAUACACCUUUUUUUUUUU